AGUUCUAUACUUUAAACUUAAAAGAUUUGAUUUGCAAUCAAACAUUGAACAACACUCUAGAACUAC
rnacentral:tRNA from 1 species